rnacentral:rRNA from 1 species
CGGACGGGUGAGUAAUGUCUGGGGAACUGCCUGAUGGAGGGGGAUAACUACUGGAAACGGUAGCUAAUACCGCAUAACGUCGCAAGACCAAAGAGGGGGACCUUCGGGCCUCUUGCCAUCGGAUGUGCCCAGAUGGGAUUAGCUAGUAGGUGGGGUAACGGCUCACCUAGGCGACGAUCCCUAGCUGGUCUGAGAGGAUGACCAGCCACACUGGAACUGAGACACGGUCCAG